CUCGUCAGGCUCAGUCCCCUCCCGAUAAAGCCCUAAGUGGGGGCUUCCCGGGGGAUGGC
rnacentral:pre_miRNA from 1 species